GAGUGUGUGUCCGGUAUGUGUGUAGCGCCUUCCGUCUAAUUUGCCUCCCUGCAGCCUGUCACAACAGGGCGAAGCAGCAGAGCAGCGUCCUCCACAAUGCGGCCGUGAAGUGGCCCGUGUGGGAGGCGGAGGAGGAGAGCCCGGACACGGAGCGGUCCACCCACGCCAGGCACGGUCGGAUCCACGAUGUCGAACCGCAAGCACCGGGACAACCAGGAGAUUUGCGCCCGUAAGGUCCGCGAGCUGGCCCAGUCCGGAGUAAACAAACACUGCUUCGAGUGCAACCAGCCCGGGGUGACUUAUACGGACGUGACCGUGGGCAGCUUCGUGUGCACGUCGUGCUCCGGAAUGCUGAGAGGCCUCAAUCCUCCGCACAGAGUUAAGUCAAUCUCCAUGACGACAUUCUCCCAGCAGGAAGUGGAAUUCCUCCAAAACCAUGGCAACGAGGUGGGCAGGAGGACUUGGCUGUGCGUGUUCGAUCCCAAGACGGACGGCUGCUCCGACAUGAAGGACUCGCAGAAGUUCAAAGAAUUCCUGCAGGACAAAUACGAAAAGAAGAAAUGGCAUUUUUCCAAAUUAAAGAACCGCAGAGACAUGGAGGGUCCUUGGAGUCCAGGGGUCCAGGCCGUCCUUGCUCAUGGUGCUUUGGUUGGGCAACCCCCCCCUCACAGCCUGCCCCCCACCAACAGGCCCGCUAGGACGCUGUCCCAGAUGGCGCCGUGGGAUCGAGCCCCGGCCGCCUCUCCUGCCGACGUCCGGGCUGACGUGUUCACCGCUCGGCCCUCGCGCUCUCAAAGCUUCCGAGACGCCUCUCUGAAAGACCACAACAUGUGCAGCAUUGAGAGACAGCGCCCCGGCUCACAGUCGUCAGCCAUGGGGGGUCAAAACCACGGCCCUUCCUUCCCCGCCCUCCCACGGCCUUCAGCAAGUAGCUCUUUCAAAAACCACUUCACUUUAGGUCGAGCCGUGUCGUCCUCGGGGACUACGGGACCCUUUAGGGCUUUUCCCAAAUCUCUCAGCUUGGACUUUGGCGGGCUGAAACACCCUCAAGCUCAGAAUCCUCUUCCUCAGCAGAGCACCAACGCCCAGGACCGAUAUGCCGCAGUGUCCCACCUAGACAGUGUCUUCUCUGACACAGUUCCCCCUGCUGACCCUCCGCAGUACAGCAGCCUGUUUGUCAGCAGGCUGUCGUCCAGCUCCACUCCUGCCAGCUCCCCAGGAGUGGAAACUGCGUCCAGCUCGCAGACAUUUGCAAAUUUUCCCAACCCAUUCAGCUCCAGCGCCGCCUCCCAGCAGCCCACUGCACUGUCCCCCAGUAACCCCUUCAGCAGCCCCCCAGGAGGUGACUCCAGCGUGAUUUUCCCGCCGCCUUCCUCAUUUCAUCAAGAGGUCGCCACCAACCAGGAAGCCAAUGGUGAUGCCGCUGUACGUACAUGCAAAAUAUGACAGAUACUGCAAUAUGCAAUGUUUUGCCGCCUUCCCUGCGUCCGACUCGCAGCCCAAAGUCCCUCGGCCCAUGUCGGUCAACCCGUUUACAGGGAACGUUUACCCCAGUCGGGCAACGUCACGAAACCCUUUCAUCUGACCCGUCCAUCUCUGGAAAAGUCAGGAGUCACCACAGUUUUAAUGCCUCUCAAGUGUUUUCAUGGAGGGUUUGCAGGGCAUGCGUACCCUCCUUUCCUCUUAGGUUCCUCCUAUUUUUCUGUGUUUACCCGUGUGGGUGUGCAUGUGUGUGUGUGUGUGUGUGUGUGUGUGUGUGUGUGUGUUAAGAGGGGGAUAAAAUGCAUUAAUGUAAUCCUGACUCUCACUAUGUCUCUAUGGGAGGGUACUAGUAGACACCAUCUCAGGCCUCAGUGGGAGUGAACAAAUGUUUUUUUUAACAUGUUACAUGCAAACUGCUGCUGCUGCUGCUACUUUGCUUUCAUCCCCCUGCUUAAAAUAUAAAUGAAUAAUAAUGAUAACCUGCCGUCAGUAUUGAAAAAGCCACUCUAAGUGGCUUCCUUUGAAUAGUUAGUAAUAAUGCUAAUUUGCCGCCUUAAAGCCACCUGUUGCAUGUGCAGAAGCAUUGAAAAGCUAAGACAUUUGUUACCGGUUGUCUUUUUUUGUGUCUCAUUUGCUUUCAAGGAUGUUUUUUUUUUUUUUAAAAACCCACUGCCAGGCUGCAUGAGCUUUGAGGGCUAAAAUGCUACUGAAUGUAAACGUUUGCUCCAAAAUAACUUCAUGGAUAAAAUGUUUGUGCUUCUUAUUACUGGACCAAAAUGUUUCUUGCCAAAAAGGAAAGCAUUGACAAAAACAUCAAGGAGUCAUGUAAGAAUUGUUAUUCAUGUUCAUAAAACUUCGUUUGCUCCUUAAAUGA